rnacentral:rRNA from 1 species
UGGGGAAUAUUGCACAAUGGGCGAAAGCCUGAUGCAGCAACGCCGCGUGAGUGAUGAAGGCCUUCGGGUUGUAAAGCUCUGUCUUUUGGGACGAUAAUGACGGUACCAAAGGAGGAAGCCACGGCUAACUACGUGCCAGCAGCCGCGGUAAUACGUAGGUGGCAAGCGUUGUCCGGAUUUACUGGGCGUAAAGGAUGCGUAGGCGGAUUUUUAAGUGAGAUGUGAAAACCCUAAGCUUAACUUGGGGACUGCAUUUCAUACUGGAAAUCUAGAGUGCGGGAGAGGAGAAUGGAAUUCCUAGUGUAGCGGUGAAAUGCGUAGAGAUUAGGAAGAACACCAGUGGCGAAGGCGAUUCUCUGGACCGUAACUGACGCUGAGGCAUGAAAGCGUGGGUAGCAAACAGGAUUAGAUACCCUGGUAGUCCACGCCGUAAACGAUGAGUACUAGGUGUAGGAGGUAUCGACCCCUUCUGUGCCGCAGUUAACACAAUAAGUACUCCGCCUGGGAAGUACGAUCGCAAGAUUAAAACUCAAAU